CCUACGGGAGGCAGCAGUGGGGAAUAUUGGACAAUGGGCGAAAGCCUGAUCCAGCAAUGCCGCGUGAGUGAUGAAGGCCUUAGGGUUGUAAAGCUCUUUUACCCGGGAUGAUAAUGACAGUACCGGGAGAAUAAGCUCCGGCUAACUCCGUGCCAGCAGCCGCGGUAAUACGGAGGGAGCUAGCGUUGUUCGGAAUUACUGGGCGUAAAGCGUACGUAGGCGGCUAUUCAAGUCAGAGGUGAAAGCCCGGGGCUCAACCCCGGAACUGCCUUUGAAACUAGGUAGCUAGAGUCUUGGAGAGGUUAGUGGAAUUCCGAGUGUAGAGGUGAAAUUCGUAGAUAUUCGGAAGAACACCAGUGGCGAAGGCGACUAACUGGACAAGUACUGACGCUGAGGUACGAAAGCGUGGGGAGCAAACAGGAUUAGAUACCCUGGUAGUCCACGCCGUAAACGAUGAUAACUAGCUGUCCGGGCACUUGGUGCUUGGGUGGCGCAGCUAACGCAUUAAGUUAUCCGCCUGGGGAUACGGUCGCAAGAUUAAAACUCAAAUGAAUUGACGG
rnacentral:rRNA from 1 species